ensembl:lncRNA
UCUCUCUUCCCCUCUCUCUUCCCCUCUCUCUUCCCCUCUCUCUUCCCCUCUCUCUUCCCCUCUCUCUUCCCCUCUCUCUUCCCCUCUCUCUUCCCCUCUCUCUCAUUUCAUUUGAUUUAUUUACCCUUACUUCCAAUUAGAUUGUAUUAUGUCGUGUCAUCUAGCAUUCCAAAAUCAUAGUUAGUAAAAUAAGUUCUCCUUCUUAGAUCGUUGUCGCUGCUCCUUUUUUUUUUUUUUUUUUUUUUUUUUUUUUUCGGGAAGCCAGGGUGGGCAGCAAGCCUACUGCCUCCCUGUCACAGGCACAGAUUUGUCACGGAGUUAUCUAGGGAAGCAUGGAGAUGCCAGAGCAAAUCCACUGAAGAGCCACAAAGACUAUUAAGAGCUCGUUGCAUCUGUCAUAAAAGGAGAGCCUGAGAGAGCUGUUUGUUCAGCCUGGAGUACAAGAGGCUCAGACAGGUCUUAUCAGUGUAUACAAAUACCUGAUGGGAAAUUUCAACCUCAGUGACUCUGGAAUUCUGUGUUCUGAUCGUUGUUUCACACAUCAGUGUUGGAACAUUCUGCUAAUAAUAAAGUUCAUAAGCAACCAAUGACAUGGGCUGUAGCUGCUGAAGCUAAACUUCUAAGUAAUCCUAAAUGGAAAGAAGAAAAUUGUUCCUGACAAGCUGAAAUUACAUUAUAAAGCCUUCCAUAUUUUGAAAAGCCGUUUGUCUUAGAGGUAGCUGGUCUUGGAAGGAUCUCAAGAGAGAAUGAGAAGAAUUCUCAACAAAAACAAUCACUAUGACCAAUUCAGAGAUGUCUCAUUGUUUCACAAUCUAUGAACACUAAAAAGAUGCUGUUGACUGAGAAAUAACACUACAGUACUGAAUUAUAAAGAUACUGGAAAUGACAAUUUCCAGGUGGAAUAAAAAAGGAAAGAUGUUGAAGUAUACCCUUGACACAAUAAGUUACCAUUUAAGGUAAACAUUGUUACCUGGACUUUUAGAGGAACAUGAGAGAAGAAAUUACAGAAAUAAUAUAUGCUAGCAAAAAGAUGUGUUUUUUGUCCAUAGAAUAUUCAUCAUGGACCUUUGAACAUUUCUUCUCACAGUGUGUAUAUCUUGAAUAUACACUGAAGACUCAAAGGUUGCCUGAUACAGUACUGAGAAUGGAUGAAAAUUUGUGUGCUUAUUCAGGCAUUGAAAUUAAGAUCCUAAAAAGAAGCCUUCUUCACAUAGCAGAAAAUGACUGCUUCUGAGAAUCGGUAUUCUGCAUGCCCUGGAUUUACAAGUCAUAUUAAAAGAAUCUUGACCCUGGGUCUCUGAAUGUUUUCAGAAUGAGCAUUGCAGAUUCUGGUGUCCAUUUUUAUUAUUUCCACCUAUGAUUGUUAGCUUCAGUAAAAAGAAUUUUCAGAAUAAGAUUUUAAUAGUAAUAAUUAGGGGGUGAGGUUUUAGCUAACCUGUCCAGCUGAAAUUGGGGUUAUGAUUCCUUUCAUAGCUGAGGUUAAUGCAGUAAAUACCAGUUACGUUCCUUGUUGAAGUACUGCUUCAGUAAUUCAUUGAGGUGAAAUGAUAUCAGUCUCUGGCAAUGAAGAUCCUCUAAAGGCUUUGGCAAGAAACUGCAUAAAGCAGUAAUCAGAAGCAGUCCCAUGCCACAGAAUAAGAUAAUACUAUCUUAUAGACUUAUUUAAUUUUGGAGAUACAAAGAUUCCUUCCUUCCUACCUUCCUGAGAAUUCAGCUUAAAGGGAAAAAAUAAUUCUGUAAUUUACACCUCUGACAUUAAGCUGAAAAGCAGCACUGCAGACACCUGCUUCGGAAUUGUCAUUGUUUCCAUGGUGCCACUUUCUAUCACCUAUUUUUAAUAGUUUACACAACAAGAUCAAGGGUGUCCCAGCUGUUACUGCCACUGUUGCUAAGCAACCUUUAAAUCAGAGUUCAAGAAGACAAAGAAUCAUGCUUGAAAAAUUUCUCAAGUGUCUGCUUUUCGCCUUCUUCUUCUGUCUACACUAUUUUUCAGAUGCCAUGUUUUCUCCUCCUUUUUUUUUGCUCGUUUCAAAUUCUGUGUGAAUCAACAGAAUAACCUAAUUUAAGGUCCAACUUCUAGUUACAACAGUUACUACUGGAUGCAGAAGAGGAAGCUGUGGCAUUAAAUAGAGUUUUUAUAAC